UCCGUUCCAGCGAGUUCAGGCCCUUCUCCAGGUCCUGCAGGGCCUCUUCGGCCUGCUUCAGUCUCUUCUCCAGCUCCACCCGAGACUCUAUCUCCGCCUGAGACGCCCACGAGAAACACAGGACGAAAUGUAAUGUGAUAUGAGCUCUUUGUGCCAGAGAGACUCUGCAGUCAGACCAGGAGGAAAAGAUGACGAGGAGGAGGAUGUGCUGCUGAUCCACCAUGAAGAUUUCACAGACCAGAUUUUAAAAAAAACCUGACCGUCUUACUGAAGUAAAAGUACAUCAGAGUUACUGUGACAUGCUGGGCUGUUGUUACCAGUAAGGAAAGUGAGGUCAUGCCGUCUGUAUUUUUGUCUCUUUAUGGGGUUUUACUUAAAAACUUGCACAUGGAGGUCAUAUAUAACACUAAGUAAUUCGACUCAACAACAAUCUAUAAACUACAGGAUUCCUUUGUGGACUGUGAAAAGGUUGAAUCAAAGUUCAUCUUGUUGUAUUUUUUCCUCAUUUUUCAACACCUCAGAGCCAGAUUAAUUAAAACUGUUGCCUCAGCCGAUACUCUUUUCAUUCCUUUAUCGUCCUGAAUGUAUUUGAAAACAAGCAGCAGCUGACUGACGUGGUGACCUUUGACCCGACUCCUGCUGCGCAGACUGCGAGCCGCGAGCAGCUGAGUCAUGUCGUGUUACCUUGAGCUCGGCCUCAGUCUGCUGCUUGUCCGCCGUGAGCUGGGAGAGCGACUGCUGCAGCGUCCGAGCCUGAGUCGAGUAGUACUCCCUCUCCUGCUGCAGGAUUUUAGCCCGCUGCUCGUUCUCCCUGAGCCUGAGAGACAGAAACGCCGUCAAACAGGGAAAAGACUGCACGCACACACAGAAGAAACAUCAUCUGAAAAUGUGAAUUUCUCAGAUUGUGGCAGUUUAAAUGUUUUGGGUGUUUUUUCUUGGAAAAUCAAAAGCUGUGGAUUUUCAGACAUUAAUGCUUCUGUAAAAGAUGUUCUUCACUGUCAGGACUGCACAGACAAUAAAAAUGCUGCC